GGGAUAAGCCUUGGAAACGAGGUCUAAUACCGAAUAUGAGCAUCUGCCGCAUGGUGGGUGUUGGAAAGUUUUUCGGUGGGGGAUGGGCUCGCGGCCUAUCAGCUUGUUGGUGGGGUGAUGGCCUACCAAGGCGUCGACGGGUAGCCGGCCUGAGAGGGCGACCGGCCACACUGGGACUGAGACACGGCCCAGACUCCUACGGGAGGCAGCAGUGGGGAAUAUUGCACAAUGGGCGAAAGCCUGAUGCAGCGACGCCGCGUGAGGGAUGACGGCCUUCGGGUUGUAAACCUCUUUCAGCAGGGAAGAAGGCCUUCGGGUGGACGGUACCUGCAGAAGAAGCGCCGGCUAACUACGUGCCAGCAGCCGCGGUAAUACGUAGGGCGCAAGCGUUGUCCGGAAUUAUUGGGCGUAAAGAGCUCGUAGGCGGUUUGUCGCGUCUGGUGUGAAAACCCGAGGCUCAACCUCGGGCUUGCAUCGGGUACGGGCAGACUAGAGUGCGGUAGGGGAGACUGGAAUUCCUGGUGUAGCGGUGGAAUGCGCAGAUAUCAGGAGGAACACCGAUGGCGAAGGCAGGUCUCUGGGCCGCAACUGACGCUGAGGAGCGAAAGCAUGGGGAGCGAACAGGAUUAGAUACCCUGGUAGUCCAUGCCGUAAACGUUGGGCACUAGGUGUGGGGCUCAUUCCACGAGUUCCGUGCCGCAGCUAACGCAUUAAGUGCCCCGCCUGGGGAGUACGGCCGCAAGGCUAAAACUCAAAGGAAUUGACGGGGGCCCGCACAAGCGGCGGAGCAUGCGGAUUAAUUCGAUGCAACGCGAAGAACCUUACCAAGGCUUGACAUGCACCGGACGCUGCCAGAGAUGGUGGUUCCGCAAGGUCGGUGCACAGGUGGUGCAUGGGUUGUCGUCAGCUCGUGUCGUGAGAUGUGGGUUAAGUUCCCGCAACGAGCGCAACCCUCGUUCCCAUGUGCCAGCGGGUUAUGCCGGGGACCUCAUGGGGAGACUGCCGGGUCCACCUCGGAGGAAGGCGGGGAUGACGUCAAAUCAAUCAUGCCCCUUAUGUCUUGGCCUCCCGCCAUGCUACAAUGCGUUACGAAGGGGCUCGCAAUCCGGUAAGGUGGAGCGAAUCCCAAAAAGCCGGACUUCGAAGUUCCCGAAUUGGGAGGCUCGGACCCAUGAAGUCGGAGUCGCUAGUAAUCGCAGAUCAGCAACGCUGCGGUGAAUACGUUCCCGGGCCUU
rnacentral:rRNA from 1 species